UACGGGAGGCAGCAGUGGGGAAUAUUGGACAAUGGAGGCAACUCUGAUCCAGCAAUUCUGUGUGUGUGAAGAAGGUUUUAGGACUGUAAAACACUUUUAGUAGGGAAGAAAGAAAUGACGGUACCUACAGAAGAAGCGACGGCUAAAUACGUGCCAGCAGCCGCGGUAAUACGUAUGUCGCGAGCGUUAUCCGGAAUUAUUGGGCUUAAAGGGCAUCUAGGCGGUUAAACAAGUUGAAGGUGAAAACCUGUGGCUCAACCAUAGGCUUGCCUACAAAACUGUAUAACUAGAGUACUGGAAAGGUGGGUGGAACUACACGAGUAGAGGUGAAAUUCGUAGAUAUGUGUAGGAAUGCCGAUGAUGAAGAUAACUCACUGGACAGCAACUGACGCUGAAGUGCGAAAGCUAGGGGAGCAAACAGGAUUAGAUACCCUGGUAGUCCUAGCUGUAAACGAUGAUCACUGGGUGUGGGGAUUCGAAGUCUCUGUGCCGAAGCAAAAGCGAUAAGUGAUCCGCCUGG
rnacentral:rRNA from 1 species